GAAAUGCGAUAAGUAAUGUGAAUUGCAGAAUUCAGUGAAUCAUCGAAUCUUUGAACGCACCUUGCGCCCUUUGGUAUUCCGAGGGGCAUGCCUGUUUGAGUGUCAUUAAAUACCAUCAACCCUCUUUUGACUUCGGUCUCGAGAGUGGCUUGGAAGUGGAGGUCUGCUGGAGCCUAACGGAGCCAGCUCCUCUUAAAUGUAUUAGCGGAUUUACCUUGCGGGAUCGCGUCUCCGAUGUGAUAAUUUCUACGUCGUUGACCAUCUCGGGGCUGACCUAGUCAGUUUCAAUAGGAGUCUGCUUCUAACCGUCUCUUGACUGAGACUAGCGACUUGUGCGCUAACUUUUGACUUGACCUCAAAUCAGGUAGGACUACCCGCUGAACUUAAGC
rnacentral:misc_RNA from 1 species